UACGGGGGGAGCAAGCGUUGUUCGGAUUUACUGGGCGUAAAGGGCGCGUAGGCGGUCGUGACAAGUCACUUGUGAAAUCUCCGGGCUUAACUCGGAACGGUCAAGUGAUACUGUCGGACUAGAGUACAGAAGGGGCAACUGGAAUUCUCGGUGUAGCGGUGAAAUGCGUAGAUAUCGAGAGGAACACCUGCGGCGAAGGCGGGUUGCUGGGCCGACACUGACGCUGAGGCGCGAAAGCCAGGGAGCGAACGGG
rnacentral:rRNA from 1 species